rnacentral:rRNA from 1 species
GACGAACGCUGGCGGCGUGCUUAACACAUGCAAGUCGAACGGAAAGGCCCUGCUUUUGUGGGGUGCUCGAGUGGCGAACGGGUGAGUAACACGUGAGUAACCUGCCCUUGACUUUGGGAUAACUUCAGGAAACUGGGGCUAAUACAGGAUAGGAGCUCCUGCUGCAUGGUGGGGGUUGGAAAGUUUCGGCGGUUGGGGAUGGACUCGCGGCUUAUCAGCUUGUUGGUGGGGUAGUGGCUUACCAAGGGUUUGACGGGUAGCCGGCCUGAGAGGGGGACCGGCGACAAUGGGCCUGCGAUACGGCCCAGAAUCGUAUGGGACGCAGCAGUGGGGAAUAUUGCACAAUGGGGGGGAGCCUGAGGCAGCAACGCCGCGUGCGGGAUGACGGCCUUCGGGUUGUAAACCGCUUUCGCCUGUGACGAAGCGUGAGUGACGGUAAUGGGUAAAGAAGCACCGGCUAACUACGUG